ensembl:lncRNA
GUUAAUACACUCUACUGAUCCCCGAUGGGAGAAUCAUCAAUUUUGGCAACAAAGAAGCCUGGUGGAUGUUUGUUUACAGUCUGAUGAUGGGACAUCAUGCUCUGCAUCUUCAAAGUUUGCCUCCUCAUUAUUAUUCAUACCCAGUAAUGUGAAGUAUGCUUAUAUCUACUAUAACUGAACCAACCUGGUGCUCUUCAUUUAUGGAGGCUGUUGAGUCUGAAUGUUGGAUGUUGUUUAUCUCGUGUUCUCUGGGCUUUGUUGUCCUCAGUCUUUUCGCAGGAUCAGAAAACAAAACCAGGAGGCGCGUAAAUGUUUCUUCUGCAUGAUGUUUCUUCAAAUGUUUCUUCUGGAUGAUGAUAAGACUGUGACACGGGAUGCCACCUUUGGUCUUGUGAUGAAGCAAAGCUCAGGAAGAAGUGGGAUUAAAUGGUACCCACAUGUGUGAAGCACUGAGAAGGAUGUACAGGGGCACCUGCAGCCAAAUCCAAGCCUCAGAGCAGCAGUUUGUGCUCACAGAUGGUGACGGUGUGGAGAGACGGUGGUGUUUCCUCAGAAGAACCAGCAGAGUCACAAAGGACACCAGUCCAUCUCACCACCUUGACUUGCUGACUGAUGUUCGUCUGCACUGCACAGAGGAAAUCAACUGACCGAGGAGUGUUUCUGAGUGAGGGGGAGAGGAGUCAUCAUCCAGGUAAAGUGACGUGGAUCAGUGGAUACACUUGUCUCCCCUUUAAAGGAGACGAUCCAAGUCAUCCUUAAAUGUUAGCGCUUUCAAAUACACAAACAUUUUUAAAGGACAAAAAUGAACAUCCAACUUUGACUGUAAUACAAAAUAAAUCUUUGCAUGUGUGUUUUCAAACUCUCAGAUGGGCAGCAUAUCAGUCUUGGACUGUCUAACCUGCAGCACUGAAUGACCACCGCACAUGAGCAUGUUCUGCAACAUUCAGCAUCUGAUCCUUCAUCUGUGUGCUUCUGCUUUUGUGUCACAUGUCAAACAGCUGGAGAGGAAACUACACCAGUGUACUGGGAUGUUUCAGCAACACGUGCCAGAUGCUGUUCCUUCAUGGUGACAUCACCAGAGACAGCCCCGCCCACCUCAGGACCUCACCAUUGAUCAUGAAGAUUAUAAUGAUGACAGCGAGCGGAACUAAGACUGUAAAAAUCCACGACCAGAAUUUUUCUUUCUAAUUAUUAAUGAAUACUGAGAGCCUCGUUCUGUGUUUUGUCUGUUUUGUUUUUUACCUCAUUUGUUUCUAACAAAGUUCACAAACUCACACAGUUUACAUUCUGUAUGUUUCCAUCUUUACCUGCCACACUCU